rnacentral:rRNA from 1 species
UGGGGAAUAUUGCACAAUGGGCGCACGCCUGAUGCAGCCAUGCCGCGUGUGUGAAGAAGGCCUUCGGGUUGUAAAGCACUUUCAGCGGGGAGGAAGGCGAUAAGGUUAAUAACCUUGUCGAUUGACGUUACCCGCAGAAGAAGCACCGGCUAACUCCGUGCCAGCAGCCGCGGUAAUACGGAGGGUGCAAGCGUUAAUCGGAAUUACUGGGCGUAAAGCGCACGCAGGCGGUUGAUUGAGUCAGAUGUGAAAUCCCCGGGCUUAACCCGGGAAUUGCAUCUGAUACUGGUCAGCUAGAGGCUUGUAGAGUGGGGUAGAAUUCCAUGUGUAGCGGUGAAAUGCGUAGAGAUGUGGAGGAAUACCGGUGGCGAAGGCGGCCCCCUGGACAAAGACUGACGCUCAGGUGCGAAAGCGUGGGGAGCAAACAGG